rnacentral:rRNA from 1 species
UCUACGGGUGGCAGCAGUGAGGAAUAUUGGUCAAUGGGCGCGAGCCUGAACCAGCCAAGUAGCGUGAAGGAUGACUGCCCUACGGGUUGUAAACUUCUUUUAUCAAGGACGAAACAAAUGACGGUACUUGAUGAAUAAGCCACGGCUAACUACGUGCCAGCAGCCGCGGUAAUACGUAGGUGGCAAGCGUUAUCCGGAUUUACUGGGUGUAAAGGGCGUGUAGGCGGGACUGCAAGUCAGAUGUGAAAACCAUGGGCUCAACCCAUGGCCUGCAUUUGAAACUGUAGUUCUUGAGUGUUGGAGAGGCAGGCGGAAUUCCGUGUGUAGCGGUGAAAUGCGUAGAUAUACGGAGGAACACCAGUGGCGAAGGCGGCCUGCUGGACAAUAACUGACGCUGAGGCGCGAAAGCGUGGGGAGCAAACAGGAUUAGAUACCCCUGUAGUC